rnacentral:rRNA from 1 species
UACGGGGGGAGCAAGCGUUGUUCGGAUUUACUGGGCGUAAAGGGCGCGUAGGCGGUCAGCACAAGUCAGUUGUGAAAUCUCCGGGCUUAACUCGGAAAGGUCAACUGAUACUGUGCGACUAGAGUGCAGAAGGGGCAACUGGAAUUCUCGGUGUAGCGGUGAAAUGCGUAGAUAUCGAGAGGAACACCUGCGGCGAAGGCGACUCUUUGGUCUGGUACUGACGCUGAUGCGCGAAAGCGUGGGGAGCAAACGGG